UACGUAGGUGGCGAGCGUUGUCCGGAUUUACUGGGCGUAAAGAGCGCGCAGGCGGUCGUCCAAGUCGCGUGUGAAAGCCCCCGGCUCAACUGGGGAGGGUCACGCGAUACUGAUCGACUCGAAGGCAGGAGAGGGAAGUGGAAUUCCCGGUGUAGUGGUGAAAUGCGUAGAUAUCAGGAGGAACACCCGAGGCGAAGGCGGCUCUCUGGGUCGUACCUGACGCUGAGGCGCGAAAGCGUGGGGAGCGAACGGG
rnacentral:rRNA from 1 species